GCUUUCCCAACCCGUACCCUUUGCUCUCCACUUUAUAAGGAAGAAAUUUGGUGUGGGGGAGAGGCAGACACCCAGGAUAAUUGAAUCUGGCCAGCCAGGGUCACUCUCUGGUGCUGUGUGAGGUCUUGGGACUAAAGCCUAACUCCAACAGCCCUCAGGGGUACCGAGUAUCAACUGCUGUUUGGGAGAAUUUUGGUGCGUGGCACGAGGAAGGCUCAAGGUGACAGAGGGCAUCUGGCUGGGGCAACUCUCUAGGGUUGCCAGCAGACUUUGGCCUGAAACCUGACUCCGACAGCCCCCGGGGCACAGAUAUCAAGGACAUGCUAAACUUCCACUAUGCUUGGACAGCAAAGGGCUUUACAGCAAGCCCUCUGAGGGCAUGAAAAGAGACCUACUUCUUCCCUUACCAACCUUCCCUCCCACACUCAGCCGACUUCACACAUCCAGGAAGAGACCUGGGCUGGUUUGUGAAGUUUACAUUUGUCGGGGGUCUUUUAUUAGCACAGUUAUUUGAAACUUGGUGUACUGACAGGAAGUAGUCUAAAAC
rnacentral:lncRNA from 1 species